CAGAUCCUUAACCCACUAACUGAGGCCAGGGAUUGAAUCUUCAUCCUCAUGGAUACUAGUCAGGUACUCAGAUUUUGUUUCCGCCUCAAAGAGUAUUUGCCUUUUCCCAAAGCUGGGAUGUUAUCAUGACUAUCGCUGUCCCUGGAGUCUGCUGCUUUGAUCAAAGAAUACAUAUAUGUAUGCAUAUGCUUCCAGCUUUUCUUCCCCCCACACCCGCUUGUCUGGGUACCUCCUCCCUUAUGGUACCGACUCCGUGAUUAGAUCCAGAAAUACCUUUCGGAUAUUUUCCGUGAUGUUAUUGUCUUUAAUUAACACAACGCCAGAAGUUAAGGUCUCCUCUCCGGUCAGCAUUUUGAAUAUAGUGGUUUUUCCAGCUCCAUUUAAUCCAAGUAAUCCAAAGCACUCAUACUUUUGGACUAAAAGGGAGACGUUUCUUACAGCCAUUACAACUGGACACUUGAAAUAAAUCUGAGAAAAUAAAAAAGCACCACAGUGUACUGAAGCACUGAUUAUGGAUCAGCCACAGCCAUAAGCUCAGACCCCUGUGGACUGCUGCCCGGGACAGUUUCACAAGAGCUCUUCCUCUGUCAGCCCUCUGGUUUACCAUAGAGCACUUAGAACCCGCACAACUUCAAUGAAUUAGUAAUACUACCAACAGAACCCCGGCAGUUCCCUGGUAGAUGGUAGGACAAGGUUGGACGUUGAAUCACUUUACCUUUGUAAGUUCACUAAGAAGCACGGGUGCAGCCUUCAACUUAGGUAACAGUGCCAGGACUCUCUUCCUUUCAUUUUCUACAUCUUUAUCCACAUACUCGUUGAUCACUUGGGUGGACACGGUGGCCUGUAUUUUCAAGACAAGGAUCACAGGUGUGGAUAAACAUUAGACAUCUUGGUUUAAAGCGGGGGGCUUUAAGAAAGCUGACCGGAAGGAGUGAUGGCAAAGAUGUCAGAAUAUGUUCGAAUAAUGUCAAAGAACCUUAUCAAUUUCUUGGACUCUUAGGCGCAGAUUUAUUCUUGAGUUUUAGAAACUACAGUCAUGAACAAGAUUCUCUACAACGGUUCUGGGUCAGCAGUAUGUCCUUGCCUGGAACAUGGACACUUUGUGGAGAACAAAAGCCCUAUCAAUAACAUUAAUUCUUAUUUCCUGUGGUUUGCUACAAUUAAAAUAUGUUCAAGAGACCAUGAGAUCCAAGAGAGGAGAAAAAUGAACUCCUUUUUUUUUUUGAGAGACGGCCCCUUAAGGUGAAGUCUGAGAUGAAUUUGAAGAAUAAACAGAAGAUACAUUGAGAGAAUGAAGGAUACAAUUCAUUGGAUAGAGAUUUCCUGAGGGUGACAUAGGAAAACGAACAUUCAUGCCAUUUCAGCUGACACUCACCAGUAUGAAGCAGCAGAUAAUGGAGAAGUAGAUGAGAUCCCACAGCAAAGCAGCGAGCCAGUAAGUAAGUAACUUGCCCAGGGACAGACAAGAGGACAUCUGACUGAAUGGCCAUAACUAUGAUACAUCAUUCUUAUUACAGUUUAUUCAGUACUAUAAAUUACUGAAGUAGCCUUGAGUUGAUAUGUAGCAGUCUUCUGUGAACUUAUUCACCCGGUCAACUUUGAGACACUGAAACGAUUACAUCCCUGGGGUUUCUGGAUGCAGAAUGUUACAUUUGGAAUGGAUGGGCAGUGGGGCACUACUGUACAGCACAGGGAACUGUGAGUGAUGGGGUCACUGUGCUUUAUAAUAGAAAUUGAAGAAACAUUGUAAAUCAACUAUACUUUAAUUAAAAAAAAAUCCCUGGAUCUGAGAGAGGAUAUUUUGUAAAACUCUCAACAGGUAACCACCUUACUUUGUUAACUGACAGUUUGAAAACUCUGGGCAUUUCCAUUUUGAAUUUUCUUCAUAGUGCAAGAAACAAACCCAUGUAUAAAUGAAGUAAAUUGUGGAAAUGUAGGGGAGCAAAAUUUGCCACCCCAAAACGUCUCUUUGGCGUGUGAAUUAUUUCUGGCAAAACAUAAUCAAGGCCCCAGAGACUCAGGAAGUCUUUUUACUUCUGCCUUAGCUGCUUAAAAUAUUUUGAUAAAGGGCCUAUUCCCAGGACUGGAGUUAUAGUGAGAGGUAUCUGCAGAGAAUAUAGGUUAGGUGUGGUGGGGGAUACUCAGGCAGGGACUAGCGAUCAGAGUUCGUUCUGUGUCCUUUAGUCUCUGCAAGGCCUAGCAAACAUAUUUUUACCAAACAUUUGCUUCUCCAUAUGAAGGCAAUUCACCAUAUGAAUUGCCUUCCUCCCCAGUGAAGUCCCAAAACCAUUACCCCCAACAUUCUCUUUGUCUUUAGCUGAAGACAGUAGGGUUUCAGCCCUUUCGGCAAAUUACCCAGUUCUCCUGGGUCUCACCCAUGUAUGCAUUUUAUUAAACUUUUGUUUGAUUUUUCUCCUGCUAAUUGUUCACAUCAACUUAAUUCUUAGAGCAGCCAGAAACAUUUAGAAGUGUAGAGGAAAAUUUCUCCCUUCCCAACAGAAACAUGCUUAGGUCAAAAUUUUAAAGUCAUUUCUAAUAUAGACUCCAAGUUAAAACCAGAACUUUUCCUAUGAUGACUUAGAUAUUAAUUUUUUUUCCUUGACUCUUAAUUAAAUCUUUUGUCAUGAAAAGACACAUGUAACAAGACCCAAGCUCAAAAUCUUUUCAUAGUCUCAGCUGAAUAUGCAGAAAUACGUUAGCAUAAAAGAUAUAUUUUUCAAAAUUCUUAAGUUCAGUUACUUUAUUCCAAUGCAAACUGGGUGGGGUUUGCUCUCAAACUGAUUUUAGGGGUGGAAGUUUUGUGUUUUUUUAAGGACAUUUAAGGAUGACUCACUUAAGGAAGACUUCUUCCAUGGUAGUAAUUGAAGCACCAAAGCUGGCAAUGCCCAGCUCUUUCUGUUUCUCUUCCAGUUCAUUAAACAGAGCUUCAAACCUGGAAAGAGAAGGGAGAGGCAAGGAAAAUAGCAGCACUUGUCUGGAUACAUUUUCUUUUUUUUCUAGUAUUUUCUAUUAAAUGGAAUUAAGAAAAACAAUGUAUAAGCACUUGCUUUUUUUCCCCACUUAAUAUUUAAUUUUAUUCCCAAUUUUAUUCUUCCCUUUUGUUUUCUUAAAAAUUUUUUAGUGCAGUAAAAUAUAUGAAACUUUAAAUUUACCGUUUCAUCAUCUUAAGCGUUAAAUUCAUUUAAGUUUAAAUUCAAGCAGCAUUAAGCACAUUCAUAAUGUUCUGCAAAUUUUCAUCACCAGCCAUUUCUGGGACUAUUUUACAAUCUCAAACUAUGACUCCGUACCCAUUAAAGAAUAAUUCUCUGUCUCUCCUUUCCCUCGACUUCAUUGUACUUUGUCCUUAUUAAUGUGCCCAUUCCCUGUGCCUUAUGUAAGUUGGGAUCAUGUACGCUUUGUCUUUUUGUGUCUGGCUUAUUUCAGUUAGCAUAAGUUUUUUGAGGUUCAUCUACAGUGUAGCACGUAUCAGAGUUUCAUUCCCUUUUAAGGCUGAAUAAUAGUUACUGUAAGGACAUACAACAUGUUUCUUACUCAUCCAUUCGUCACUGGGCACUUGGGUUGUUUCUACCUUUUGGAUUCUGUGAAUAUGUUGCUGUGAACACUGGCACACAAGUGUGUGAGUUCCUGCUUUCAAUUAUUUUGGGCGUAUACCUAGCAGUGGAAUUGCUGGAUCACAUGGAUCGCUUUUUGAGGAACUAUCAUACCAUUUUCCAUAGCAGAUGCACCAUUUUACAUUCCCAAUGGCAAUGCACACGCUUCCAGUUUCUCCACAUCCUUAACGAAUAUUGGUUAUUUUUUUGUGUUUUUGAUUUACAUUUCCCUAAUGAGUUGAACUUAUUGGCAAUCUGUACAGUGUCUUUGGAGAAUGUAUAUCCAAGUCGUUUGUCCAUUUAAUACAGGGUGUUAGGUUUUUUGGCUAGAUGAAUUUUCAAUAUUGUUUUGUUCAAUAAUAAUUUCUGGUUAGCCCUGGGAAAAAUAUUUAGUAGAGCAUUAUUCUUUAAUGCUUAUUGUGAAAGAAAUGGAAAUAAUGAAGAUAUAUUUACCUUACCAAGUUUCUCCCACUGUAACGUGAUCUUUGAUAUAAUUCUUUUGUCCUUAUAAAAAUUAUCAAUUUAUUUUGUCAGUGUCAAGGAUUAAAGCUAGUUGCUAAAAGUUUACUUAUUCCUAUAUGCUUCCUACAUCAAAUGGAAAAGAGUUCUCAAAUUAUAGGAGUUAUACAUCACUAAAUGACAGAAAAUGGAGUUAGUGAAAUACUUUUUUUUUCAUUUUUAAAAGUUUAUUGAAGUAUAGUUGAUUUACAGUGUUAUCAUUUCUACUGUACAAUAAAGUGAUUCAGUUAUAAAUGUACACACAUCCACUCCUUUCCAGAUUCUCUUCCCAUAUAGAUGAUCACAGAAUCUUGGGUAGAGUUCCCUGUGCAGGUUCCUGUUGGCCAAACACUCUCAUUCCCAGUGAGGGACUAUCAGAAACAUGUAUGACUAUGCUCCGAGAUGGUGGACUAAAAACUCUCCUCCAUCCUCUAAAUCUCCUUCACAUUUUGGUUGAAUUCCACCCAUUUCCAUCUAAUUUUACCCCUCAGUUCAAUCUGACCCUGCUUCCUACGAGAACUCCUCACAUAAUUCCUUGUCAUUGUAUUCUUUUCCUACUAUAGUGACCUAUUCCGUGAAUUACAUUGGCCAUGGACAUUUUAUUCUGAUUGGUUUCUCUCUUUCCAUAGUUAGUUUAGAAUUAGCUUGUUCAAGAAAACUUCAUUCUGAGCAAACAUAUUCUCCCCCUACUUCAUGAUUUACAUUUUCUGCUGUGUUAGAUCCACUGUCCAUGGUCCAGAAAUCCACAUCUAAUGUGCGGAUAUUAAACUGUGUGACUUCCUCAUUUCUCAGAGUUUCUUCCUCUAUCUCUCUUCCAUGUCCAAAAUAUUUAGUACAGAGACAUGAAGAAAAUAUUACCUGUUUAUAAAUUCUUACGUUUCUUCUUUUAGUCUUCAUAGUAAUGACAUAUUCAUUAUUUGUGGUUUCUUAUGAUAACGUAAUUUAUAUGUAUAUUACAGGGCAGAUAUCCUGUUAAGUUUAGGCAGCUCCUCUGCCAUGUUUCUUUCAGAGAUGCUCUGCACUUCCAGAUGUAUAGUUAACAUGUUAAGCUAAAAAUACCCAACAAAACAUCUUCUGAAUGAAUGUUCAUAUGACGAAUGUCCAGUUGCUGUUUCCUUUAUGUCCCUUACUCGUCCUCAUGACUAGGGCUGUGGGUCACCCUAAUUGUCUUAAUGCUGUUCCAUGCUUCUGUGUCUCAAAAAGGUUCAGGUUUAUUCUCUGAAUAAAUACAGCUCCAUCGAGUAUUUGCUCUUCCUUUUAUUCCUCUUCUAGAUUAAAAAUGUUUAUUUUCCUACCUGUUCACUUAUCGGAAACUUUGUUGCCUAACCCCUGUGUGUUAUUUCCUUCAUUCUGCCCAGGAGCUCUAAUCAGAGGGAUAUGUAGAGCCAUGUCCUUCAAGUCCUUCAUCUCUUCUUGUGUAUGGCAGCCAACCUGCACCUAUGGGGUAUCUGGGUGGUAAUAACUUCAGAUAAGAAGAUGAAAAUGGCACACUACGUGAAGGCUAGUGAUGAACACUUUUAAUUUCUGUUUCUCUUAGCUGGGAUGGGAAUCCCAGGUAGAAUUAUCAUCCCUGUGUCUCCACUCUAUAAUUAAUUUGGCUAACUACUGCGAUCAAACUUCUGGGUUUCUCUGUGCCCUUGUUACCCUUACUCCAAGAGCUGCCAUUUAAGCUACUUUGUUCUCUGAUCAUCUUAAUAUUUCCCCAGACCUUACUCACCACCCAUAAAACUUAUACAUCAUCAACAUCUUACCAUUAGUUAUCCCUCAUUACCAGGAAGAUAUAAGGACUAGAUUGCAAACCUGCUUCCCACUGUGCUUCCCCUCCCCCCCCCCAAAAAAAACCCCGGAAAGAUAAAUAUCAGAUAAGCUUUGAAUGAACUUGAACUUAUGAGGCAAUCUUCUGUACAUGUAAAGAAAUCUUUAGCUCUGAACUUGUCAACUCUAGUUGGGAAGUGACAGCUGUAACUGGAGACCUGGCUUAUUAGCAAAAUAUGACUCACUAAGCUUACUAGACCUGGAAAAUUGAAAAUGAUUUUUGGUCAUCAGGGACUCUUUGCA